rnacentral:rRNA from 1 species
CUUAAGCAUAUCAAUAAGCGGAGGAAAGAAACCACAGGGAUUGCCCUAGUAACGGCGAGUGAAGCGGCAACAGCUCAAAUUUGAAAUCUGGCUACUUUGUAGUCCGAGUUGUAAUUUGUAGAGGAUGCUUUUGGUGAGGUGCUUUCUGAGUUCCCUGGAACGGGACGCCAGAGAGGGUGAGAGCCCCGUACAGUUAGCAACCGAUCCUUUGUAUAGCUCCUUCGACGAGUCGAGUAGUUUGGGAAUGCUGCUCUAAAUGGGAGGUAUAUCUCUUCUAAAGCUAAAUAUAGGCUAGAGACCGAUAGCGCACAAGUAGAGUGAUCGAAAGAUGAAAAGCACUUUGAAAAGAGAGUUAAACAGCACGUGAAAUUGUUGAAAGGGAAGCGCCUAUGACCAGACUUGUUUCUAUCAGUUUUGGUAGUUUUCGGACUGCUUUACUCUGUUAGUACAGGCCAACAUCAGUUUGUUGUCGGGGAGAAAGGCUUAGGGAAUGUGGCUCCCUCGGGAGUGUUAUAGAUCUUUGCAUAAUACCCUUCGGCAGACUGAGGACCGCGCUUCGGCAAGGAUGUUGGCGUAAUGGUUAUCAGCGACCCGUCUUGAAACACGGACCAAGGAGUCAACCUUAUAUGCGAGUGUUUGGGUGUAAAACCCCAGCGCGUAAUGAAAGUGAACGUAGGUGAGAGCUUCGGCGCAUCAUCGACCGAUUCUGAUGUUCUCGGAUGGAUUUGAGUAAGAGCAUAUAGGGUUGGACCCGAAAGAAGGUGAACUAUGCUUGUAUAGGGUGAAGCCAGAGGAAACUCUGGUGGAGGCUCGCAGCGGUUCUGACGUGCAAAUCGAUCGUCAAAUAUGAGCA